rnacentral:rRNA from 1 species
AGGACUAACGCUGGCGGCGUGCCUAACACAUGCAAGUCGAACGAGGUAGCAAUACCUAGUGGCAGACGGGUGAGUAACACGUAGUCAACCUUCCCGAUAGUGGGGGAUAACUAGCCGAAAGGUUAGCUAAUACCGCAUACGAUCUUCGAGUGGCAUCAUUUGAAGAUGAAAGGAGCAAUCCGCUUUCGGACGGGACUGCGUCCCAUUAGCUAGAUGGUGGGGUAAUGGCCUACCAUGGCAACGAUGGGUAGCUGGUUUGAGAGAGCGACCAGCCACACUGGGACUGAGAAACGGCCCAGACUCCUACGGAGGCAGCAGUGAGGAAUUUUCCGCAAUGGGCGAAAGCCUGACGGAGCGACGCCGCGUGUGGGAAGAAGGCCUUCGGGUCGUAAACCACUGUCGAAGGGGAAAUACUGAGUGGUACCUUGGAGGAAGGCCCCGGCUAACUACGCGCCAGCAGCCGC